GUGUACAACGUGGGAGGGGCGUCGGUGGUAGGGUGGGUUCGGGCGUGGUGCGGAUGUAUUGGUGGUGAAGUGCUCGUGGUUGGUUGUGUGCGUCGGAAGGGUAAUCUGGGGGCGUAACCCUGAGCGGGCUUUCGAUACGGGUUGACUGGAGGAAGGUAGUGGGGAAUGGAAUUCCUGGUGGAGCGGUGGAAUGCGCAGAUAUCAGGAGGAACACCAGUGGCGAAGGCGGUUCUCUGGGCCUUUCCUGACGCUGAGGAGCGAAAGCGUGGGGAGCGAACAGGAUUAGAUACCCGAGUAGUC
rnacentral:rRNA from 1 species